CCUACGGGGGGCAGCAGUGGGGAAUAUUGCACAAUGGACGAAAGUCUGAUGCAGCGACGCCGUGUGAGGGAUGACGGCCUUCGGGUUGUAAACCUCUUUCGCCAAGGACGAAGGGGCGUGAGCUUUGACGGUACUUGGAGAAGAAGCGCCGGCCAACUACGUGCCAGCAGCCGCGGUAAGACGUAGGGCGCGAGCGUUGUCCGGAUUUAUUGGGCGUAAAGAGCUCGUAGGCGGUUCAUUGCGUCAAUCGUGAAAUCCUGUGGCUCAACUACAGGUCUGCGGUUGAUACGGGUGGGCUGGAGUUCGGUAGGGGAGACUGGAAUUCCUGGUGUAGCGGUGAAAUGCGCAGAUAUCAGGAGGAACACCGGUGGCGAAGGCGGGUCUCUGGGCCGAUACUGACGCUGAGGAGCGAAAGCGUGGGGAGCGAACAGGAUUAGAUA
rnacentral:rRNA from 1 species